UGCACUUGGAAGAGAUUCAAUGCAGUCCUUAACUGUAAAAGGUUAAGCUAUCCAGAAAGGCAGCAUUGUCUGCUAGCUUUCUUUGGCAUGAACCUGGGGAGAAAGAAAAUCCUGGAACCACCAUAGAACCCUUCUUCACAGCAGAAUUUCUCUACUGAAAUUCUUACAGAUGUGUGUGAGAUAUCUGGGAAUAUAAGAACCGGUUACUUCUACCAGCUGAACUGAGAAGAAUGAGCUGGAACCUCAUGCUGGAAUUCAAAGUAUCCACCACAGACUCAUUGAGUGUGACACUGUUUUCUUUUAGGAGCUCUCAGGGACUUGAAAUCCAUGGAAAAUUUGCUUUCAAACUAUGCCAGCUCCUCCACAUGUGUGCCUUAAAUAAUCCCCACUUAAUGAUUUCUUUGGAAGGUGCCUGUAGCAAUUCAAUAUUUACCUGUUUUACCUGCCAGGUUAAAGUGCUGCUGAGACCUCAACCUCCACUGUUGUUAAUUAUUGAAACAAAUGGAUUAAACGAAGCUGGCAACUGUGAUGAGGGUGUUAACGCUUGUGCUUGCACGAGAAUUCAGAAUAUGCAGUAACUAUAACUUAGUUAAAUGCUCGAUGAGUAGCAUGUUAAUUACAUCACAUACUUCUUCUGUGCUGUAAAACUUCGAUGCUCACACAGAGCAUUUGAAAGACAAAUCUCAGUGCUCUCACAUUAUUUCAUUUCCUACUGUGCUAAUUUUUUUUCCCCCCCUAUCUUUGUGCACUUUCAUUCCCUCUUUCAGUGAAAGGAGGUUUUUUUUUGAUUCCUACUAGUCCUUGUAGGUUUUGGACAUUUCUACCUCAUUUAAUUUUUGGUUUUAUUUUGGGGGAGUUAUGGGGGAAAGCUGGAAAAUGAGAGAUGACAAAACAGCAUUUUGUUAUGCAGCGACAGCUGGCUGAGACAUAAUUUGCUUUUGGAUGAAUAAUACUAGUAAAAAAAAAUAAAAAAAAAAAUAAAAAAGGUAUUCUGAAAUAC
rnacentral:lncRNA from 1 species